GAUGAACGCUAGCUACAGGCUUAACACAUGCAAGUCGAGGGGUAACGAGAGGGAAGCUUGCUUUCCUUGCCGACGACCGGCGCACGGGUGAGUAACGCGUAUCCAACCUGCCCCCAACUAAGGAAUAACCUUGCGAAAGUAAGACUAAUACCCUAUAAUUUCCUCAGAUGACAUCUGACGAGGAAUAAAGAUUUAUCCGUUGUGGAUGGGGAUGCGUCUGAUUAGCUUGUUGGCGGGGUAACGGCCCACCAAGGCAACGAUCAGUAGGGGUUCUGAGAGGAAGGUCCCCCACAUUGGAACUGAGACAAGGUCCAAACUCCUACGGGAGGCAGCAGUGAGGAAUAUUGGUCAAUGGGCGGAAGCCUGAACCAGCCAAGUAGCGUGCAGGAUGACGGCCCUAUGGGUUGUAAACUGCUUUUAUACAGGAAUAAAGUUAGCCACGUGUGGUUAUUUGUAGGUACUGUAUGAAUAAGGACCGGCUAAUUCCGUGCCAGCCGCCGCCGUAA
rnacentral:rRNA from 1 species